rnacentral:rRNA from 1 species
UAGGGAAUAUUCCACAAUGGACGAAAGUAUGAUGGACCAACGCCGCGUGAGUGAUGAAGGUUUUCGGAUCGUAAAACUAAGUUGUAAGGGAAGAACACGUACGAGAGGAAAUGCUCGUACCUUGACGGUACCUUACGAGAAAGCCACGGCUAACUACGUG